rfam:Felis catus isolate Cinnamon breed Abyssinian chromosome D2, whole genome shotgun sequence.
CCUGAGGCCUUACUUAAGGCCAUUAAAUUCUUUCUGCAAAGAUUUC